CUACACCACACACACACACGCACGCACGCACACACACGCACGCACGCGCACACACACACGCGCACACACACGCACACGCCCGCGCACACACUCUCUCACACACACACAGAGAUUGGAGAGAGACAGGAGAGAGACAUGUUUUCAUCUAUCCUUUGUGGACUUCUGUUGUUUUUACUGCUGUGAAAUUUGACUUGCGAUAUCUGCUUGUAAAACAUCAUCAAAUCCAAAUUCAUUAUAUUCCACUUUUUCUAUUACAUGGUUUCUGCUUCACUGAUUCAUAUCUGUUUUACCUAUUCUGUAAGGGAGGAGAAGCUGCGUUAGGUUUCAUCUCUUGUUUAAGUUCAGUUUAAUAAAUAGUAGAUAAUGCCUCUUCUCUUUUUUCCUUUUGAAGAGGAGAAAAAGGAAAGAAUUGUAGUUGAUUCUUAUGUAGCAACUUAUUCAUUCAUUCAGUAGCUAUAGAAGCGAAUUGUUUUGUAGGUAAUUAUUAACGAUGCUUUGGAUAAUUCCCUAGCUAACUAUUCCUUCUUUUCCAUCCCAGAAAGCAAUGAAGAGAAAAGCUGAAGUCAGUGAUUAGGAGUGUCUGUGUAAGUAAAAGCAACAGGCAAUUACUGAGUGUGGUGUGAGAGGCACGGAAAGAUUGGGAAUUCAGCAAGAAGAGGAAUUGAAGUCAAACCUCACCUACUUCCCAGAGUCUUCUGGAUUUUCUGUUAGAAGCUUCAGUAUCUGAGAAAUCCAGAACAGGAUAAAUCAAAUCACCGGUUCAGUGUGCUAAAUUAGCAUAUUCAGCUCUUGAAGAAUUUAUGGAAAACGGCUUUCAAAAUGCAAGCAUGUCUUUGUUCUCUUAUAUUUCUUCAAACCAGUCUCUCAUUCAUUUCCAAAUAUCUAACAUUUCAGAUUCAUUUUUGCUUUCAUUUUUUGCUCUCUCCUUUUCUAGACAAUGCCAAGCAGACUGGGUAAUAUAGGAGAAAUCUCAAGAAGUACCAUGAAGUAAUGCUCAUCUCAAGACUUCUGCUGUUUGCCAAUUUUAUUUCUUUUCUUCUUAUUGAGAUAGUAAUUCCCACUAUGAGAUUCAUUAGAAAUCAGGCAUUAAGGUUGGAGUCUUUCCUUAAAAGAUAUUAAUAUACACAAUAAGAAAGGAGGUAUUGAGGCUGGUGUGUUUCUUCUGUUUUUCAACUUCUUUUUUUUUUUUUUGAGACAGGGUCUCACUCUGUCAUCCAGGUUGGAGUGCAGUGGCACAAUCUUGGCUCACUGCAGCAUCCUCCUCUCAGGCUCAAGCAAUCCUCCCAUCUCAGCCUCCCAAGUAGCUGGGACCAUAGGCCUGCGCCACCACACCUGGCUACAUUUUUUGUAUUUUUGAUAGAGACGGGGUUUCACCAUGUUGAGCAGGCUGGUCUCAAACUCCUGAGCUCAAGCGAUCCACCUGCCUCGGCCUCCCAAAGUGCUGGGUGUCUUUCAACUUUUCUAUUACUUUUUGUUUGUAUAUUACUCUUGGUGAAACAAAAAAAAUUGUAAAUUGUAAUAUAUGUUAUUUGUCCUCAGGAGUUUAUCAUGAAACAAUCUAGGAACAAACUAAAGCUAAUAGUGAUACAGAUACUAGCCAGGACAAGGGGGUUCCGAUGGGCAGAAGCGUAUAAGUCCAAUUUAUGUGUAGAAGUCGCUUGAGUUGGGCCUUGGGUUAUAGUAUAAAUCAAGAGUGGGUAUCUUCAGAUGUAAUUGAAUGGAUGUAACAGAGGUAAAAUUUCAAGUACCGUAAUGACUAAUAUGGCAGUGACAAAUUUUGGGGAGGCUAGGGUACCACCUUAAGUGUGCCAAGUCAUGAAGGAAAUGCUUAAGUUUGCUUAGCAUCUUUCCGAGACUCACACAAGGAGGAUUUGGAAAGAUGUCUAAUACAACCAAAAGAGGAGAAUCAAAAGAUCAACAAUGAUUGCUUUAAAAUGUUGGCUUCUGCCAGUGUUGCCCCAAGUAUAUUUAUCCCUCUUCCUUUCUACUCCUCAAUUUUCAGACACUUUGAUGAAACAGAAUAAAACUGUACUUUUUUUUUUAGAUAUUCCUAUGCAUUCUACUGCUUUAAUCCCACCUAAGUAGAGAUGUCCACAACAGAGAGAAUGGAGCUGUCACAUCGUUUCAACUGCCCAGGUAGUUCCUACUGGAUGAAUGGGAUUGUCACCUUCACACCUGCUAGAGGCUUGGAGCAUGCAAGAGUUUUUUUAAAUGGCUUCACCUUUCUUAUGAAAAUGCAACCACUAGUACUCUUCCAAUAAAAGCUUUUCUCAAGUGUGAGUAUACACUUGGCAUGGAAUAUUUUAGCUAUUUUCUCUCUCAGGACUCAUGUUUUAUUACAUAGCAUUUAGUCUCAACAUAUGUGGAUACAUAUUUUCUUUCUGAUAGUUAUUAUGCUUUUGUUUCUUCAUAUUUGUUUUAUUCUUGAUUUGAAAAAAUUAAUUUCAGAGAAACCUCCAGACUACACGCAAGCCAGUGCAGGCAUUUGAUAUCAUGAAGCUAUGAGAAUUCCCAGUUAUGGGAAGCCCUGAUGUCAUAAGAAAAUUAGACCAGCUUAGCUCAGAACAGUUUCAAUGAAAUACAUUCAUUUCACACUGUAUUAAUAUAAUCCUUGUAUUACUUCUUUUUAUCAGUCUCACAAGUCUUAAUUUUUCCAGUCAGAUAUAAAUAAGACACAAUGCAAAAGAAAGCUUAAAGAGGGAGAGGUGAGGAGAUUCUUUGAGGCCAGGAGUUCUAGACCAGCAGGGCAAUAUAGUGAGACUCUGUCUCUUAAAAAAAAAAGAAGUAAAAAUAACAAGAAAGCUUAAAGAAUGGUAAAUAUCCCUUUAAAGUACAUUUCUUCCUAUGUCAGUCUCCAGGUUUUCUAUCCUAGUUGUCACUUAUUAACUCAGAGUGUUCAUAUUUGUGUUAAAUUGAGGAAAGGUGAAAUUCAUUCUGAGAAUAACUAUUCAGACAUUGAUAAAAAGAUUUGUUCUCUCUGGGCAACAUUCUAGGUCAGUGAAUUUAGCAUUGAAUAAGAUGUUAUUUUGUAUUCAAAUAACAGCUGUAUCUGGUUUACCCCUUGUGGCGCAGUGAGGAAAAUUAGGCAAUGUGUAAAUAUAAUUUUUGUUAUUUACUAUGCUACAUAUUCAAUUAGCUUGAAAACAAAAAACAAACACCAAACCACUCAUUCCACCGUAUAGCCCAGAGCUACCAUUUCCCUCUCUAAGGGGAAGAGAACCUAAGCAUUGGCUAGGAGCAGCUGCAAUUAGAAUUUCUUUCAUAGACUUUCCUGAAAACCCAAUAAAAGAAGUAGAAAGGAGAGGCUGGGCCUAUUACAUUUAUUGGAGGCCCACAGCCUGGUUUCUAUUAAGUUUGACAGUAUUUAUUUUUGAAGCUAGAAUCAUGUACUUACCUAUGAUUGCAAACAUUGUUUUCAAAAUAUCAAAUAACGAAUGUGCAAAAACUGAAUAAUAAUGAAAUGGAUGGAAAGUGACAAAACGGAAAUUCUUCUCCCCCACAGCAAAGGCUCAAAAAUUCCAGAGAGUGGACAAACAUGAAUACUUCCUGUUUCACUGUAAAGGUUUUUGGUGCUUAAAUUUUAAGUCUCCAUUUUCAGUCUGUGAUUGUCUAUCAAUUAUAUUUAAUUAAUGUUUUUAUUACAAUAAUAUUGUGCCAUCAGUUACAAAAUAUUUUAUAAAACAAUGCAUAUUCGUGUUAUUGCCUUUCAAGAAAAUUCCAGAAAAUUCAUAGGGAUAUUCCCCUCAAAUUUUAAUGUUAUAACAUUUCCCGUGUAAUAAUGUGUCUUAAAAAGUUGCCACUUAUAAAAUAGUUUUCCCGUAUGACAUACCCAAAUUCUGGGUCUUGUCCAAACCUUUAUGUUUCUGUCCUACAACAUUUUCUCAUUUGAUAGUUGGUCAUGUGAAAAAAACAUGUUAUGUUUUCAUGUUAUGUUUCUCUAAGUAGAAAGAUUUUUCCAGUGAACAAAAUCUUAGCUCAAUGUUCCCAGUAAGAGUCUGAACAAGCAAUCUUGGUAUGUUGUAGAACUUCAAGUUCUGUUAUGAGCAGAAUUUCCUCACAAAUGUAGCAAAAUUAUUGCUCUUACUUUUCAGUUUUUCUUGUCUUUUUUUUUUAAUGAAGGACUUGAAACCACCAAAUCUUAUUUUCUUUCUUAUGGAUUCUAUUAAUUAUAAUGCAUAUUUGAAAAUUGAAGCUUUGUAGUUAUUAAACUACCUAUUACUUCUGAUGUUACCUUUUGGACAAAUGGUAUUCAUUUAAUUUUGGGUUCUGUGAAUUUUUGAUUUUACAAGAACCCUUUGGCUUUAGAAAGAGAAUGAGAACAUCUCUGGAUUCUUUCACCCCUUUUUAACGGUGGGGCUCCGUGUACUUUCCACUGAAGGAGUGAGCAUUGUCAACUAGUUAACACAAGCUAUUGGAAAAAUCCCUGAAUUUUGUAUGGGAAGAAUAAUUGCACACAAAUGCACUCAGGAAUCCUAUGGAAAAUAUAGUGCUGUUAACUGGCAUGGUUACAACACAAUUUAGCAAGUAUGUUAGAACAAAUUACCCCCUUUAACCAUAAGCCAUUCUGUUUCACGCUUCUUAAUGAAGGCCUGUGCCACACACUAGAAUACUUCUCACCUCAUUACUACUCAUAAAAAGCAAUGAUCCAUUCAAAGUCUCCUCAUAUCUCCCAUAUGAGUGGUAAAGAGCUUCGCCUCUCAUUCUGGCAGGAGGACAGGGAGGCUUCUUCCCAGCCUGCCUUUGAAGUAGGUCAUUAGAAUGUUUACUAGAUAAAAGGACUCAAAAAUUUAUCUGUGUAAUCUCACUGUUGUCAUGUGUUAAUGUUCUAUCCUUCCUUUAAAAACAAAACAAAACAAAGCAAACAAAACCCAAAGACAUUUCUGUCCCUGUUUAGAGAAUACAGGAGAUUUGUAACACUCAGUGCAAUUUUUCUCCUGCAGUAUUCACAAGAUAUUUUCAAAGAAACUCUAAAAAGCAGGAAGAAUUUAAUGGGCCACUGAAAUACAAAGUAUGGAUUCAAUAAAAAGGCAGGAAGAGAAGCAAGCUGAUAGGCCAGUUAAGAAGAAACAGUCCAAUUUUAGAAUUAAACAACUUUUUCUCUCCACGGAGUGUCAUCAAAAGGAAAAUAAA
rnacentral:lncRNA from 10 species